rnacentral:rRNA from 1 species
GAUGAACGCUAGCGGCAGGCUUAAUACAUGCAAGUCGAGGGGCAGCGCGGACUUCGGUCUGGCGGCGACCGGCAAACGGGUGCGGAACACGUACACAACCUUCCUUUUAGUGGGGGAUAGCCCAGAGAAAUUUGGAUUAAUACCCCGUAAGAUGUUAAUGAGGCAUCUCACUGAUAUUAUAGUGGCAACACGCUAGAAGACGGGUGUGCGUAUGAAUAGGUAGUUGGCGGGGUAACGGCCCACCAAGCCUUCGAUCAUUAACUGGUGUGAGAGCACGACCAGUCACACGGGCACUGAGACACGGGCCCGACUCCUACGGGAGGCAGCAGUAAGGAAUAUUGGUCAAUGGAGGAAACUCUGAACCAGCCAUGCCGCGUGGAGGAUGAAGGUCCUCUGGAUUGUAAACUUCUUUUAUAUGGGACGAAAAAGGGACUUUCUAGUUCAACUGACGGUACCAUAUGAAUAAGCACCGGCUAACUCCGUGCCAGCAGCCGCGGUAACAC